rnacentral:rRNA from 1 species
UACGAAGGGGGCUAGCGUUGUUCGGAAUUACUGGGCGUAAAGGGCGCGCAGGCGGUCGAUCAAGUCGAGUGUGAAAGCCCCCGGCUCAACUGGGGAGGGUCAUUCGAUACUGAUCGACUCGAAGGCAGGAGAGGGUAGUGGAAUUCCCGGUGUAGUGGUGAAAUGCGUAGAUAUCGGGAGGAACACCAGUGGCGAAGGCGACUACCUGGCCUGUUCUUGACGCUGAGGCGCGAAAGCUAGGGGAGCAAACGGG